UCGGGAUUCAGGGAGAUUAAGAUUUUUCAAGAGAUAAAGUUGAGAUUUUUAGGAUAUUCUUCAUAUCGAAUCCUAAAUCGAAAGAGGGGAAAUAGGAAAGAUAGAGUCUUAGGGUUUUUAGUUCGGGUAUACUUUAAACCCGAUUGGAUCUGGGUAUUUUACCCGAACCGGUCCAUAACUCAUUAUACCAAAUUAUUAGUUUCAUUCGG
rnacentral:lncRNA from 1 species